rnacentral:rRNA from 1 species
GACCCGUAAUCCGGGUUGCGGACAGUGUCUGGUGGGUAGUUUGACUGGGGCGGUCUCCUCCCAAAGAGUAACGGAGGAGCACGAAGGUUGGCUAAUCCUGGUCGGACAUCAGGAGGUUAGUGCAAUGGCAUAAGCCAGCUUGACUGCGAGCGUGACGGCGCGAGCAGGUGCGAAAGCAGGUCAUAGUGAUCCGGUGGUUCUGAAUGGAAGGGCCAUCGCUCAACGGAUAAAAGGUACUCCGGGGAUAACAGGCUGAUACCGCCCAAGAGUUCAUAUCGACGGCGGUGU